GCCUUAUAGUAUAUACUCAACAAUUACAGUAAAUUGCAACUUUACCAAAGCUAGUUGCUAAGGCA
rnacentral:tRNA from 1 species